rnacentral:rRNA from 1 species
UACGUAGGCAGCAAGCGUUGUUCGGAAUUACUGGGCGUAAAGGGCGCGUAGGCGGCCUUCUAAGUCGAACGUGAAAUCCCCGGGCUCAACCCGGGAACUGCGUCCGAUACUGGAAGGCUUGAAUCCGGGAGAGGGAUGCGGAAUUCCAGGUGUAGCGGUGAAAUGCGUAGAUAUCUGGAGGAACACCGGUGGCGAAGGCGGCAUCCUGGACCGGCAUUGACGCUGAGGCGCGAAAGCAUGGGGAGCGAACAGG